UACGAAGGGUGCAAGCGUUACUCGGAAUUACUGGGCGUAAAGCGUGCGUAGGUGGUGAGUUAAGUCUGUCGUGAAAGCCCCGGGCUCAACCUGGGAAUGGCGAUGGAUACUGGCUCGCUAGAGUGCGGUAGAGGAGAGUGGAAUUCCGGUGUAGCAGUGAAAUGCGUAGAGAUCGGGAGGAACAUCAGUUGCGAAGGCGGCUCUCUGGACCAGCACUGACACUGAGGCACGAAAGCGUGGGGAGCAAACAGG
rnacentral:rRNA from 1 species